UUAUUGGAAUAGAUGAAGAUGUGGAAACAUAAAACCAAAGAAAUACACAAUCUUUUCAAUGAAAUAAUAUCAGAAAAUUUCCCCAACCUAAAGAAUGAAGUGAAGAAUCGAAUACAGGAGGUUUACAUGUAGUCUGUUUGGGUACAGAAUAGAAGAUACAGACAUAAACCCACUUAAAUACAGUUAUCACAUACUAGACAUGAUAUGAAUACAAGAAUUGGUAAGAUUUUGCAAUUUUACUGCUAGGAAGGAAAAUGGCCUGAGAACCAGAGUUGACUCUAAUAAUUUCUGCUAGACCCUGUGUUACCUAUGGCUUUGCAGGACAAAGGAAUUGGAGAGGAAUGUCUGAUGUUGGCCUUGCCUUUUCACAAGGCAACUCCCUUGCAGGUAGAUAAGUAGGUCAGGUAAGAACCAGCGGGUACACCAGCAGAACUCCACUGAGGAUCCCAGAGGACUCCAGAUUGACUGUGCAUCAUCUGCGCCUUAUUCUUCUCAUCAGUUAUUAAUUUAUGCUAAACUCGGUGAAGUUUACAACUUCUUAUAUAACUUCUUAGAAAGAAAGCUUUUCUCUCACUUACUAGUGCUGAAGCCCAGUUCCAGCAUUGUGCUCUCUGUCACAUUUCCA